rnacentral:rRNA from 1 species
CCUACGGGAGGCAGCAGUGAGGAAUAUUGGUCAAUGGACGAGAGUCUGAACCAGCCAAGUAGCGUGAAGGAUGACUGCCCUAUGGGUUGUAAACUUCUUUUAUAUGGGAAUAAAACGUUCCACGUGUGGGAUUUUGUAUGUACCAUAUGAAUAAGGAUCGGCUAACUCCGUGCCAGCAGCCGCGGUAAUACGGAGGAUCCGAGCGUUAUCCGGAUUUAUUGGGUUUAAAGGGAGCGUAGGCGGAUUGUUAAGUCAGUUGUGAAAGUUUGCGGCUCAACCGUAAAAUUGCAGUUGAAACUGGCAGUCUUGAGUACAGUAGAGGUGGGCGGAAUUCGUGGUGUAGCGGUGAAAUGCUUAGAUAUCACGAAGAACUCAGAUUGCGAAGGCAGUUCACUGGACUGCAACUGACACUGAGGCUCGAAAGUGUGGGUAUCAAACAGGAUUAGAUACCCUAGUAGUC